GCCAGGCAUGGUGGUGCAUGCCUGUAGUCCCAGCUACUCAGGAGGCUGAGGCAGGAGGAUCACUUGAGCCCAGGAGUUGAAGGUUGCAGUGAGCUAUGGUUGCACCACUGCACUCCAGCCUGGACAACAGAGUGAGACGUUGUCUCUU
ensembl:misc_RNA Metazoa_SRP Metazoan signal recognition particle RNA